rnacentral:rRNA from 1 species
GACGAACGCUGGCGGCGUGCCUAAUACAUGCAAGUAGGACGCACAGUCUAUACCGUAGCUUGCUACACCAUAGGCUGUGAGUUGCGAACGGGUGAGUAACGCGUAGGUAACCUGCCUAUUAGAGGGGGAUAACUAUUGGAAACGAUAGCUAAUACCGCAUAACAGUAUGUAACACAUGUUAGAUGCUUGAAAGAUGCAAUUGCAUCGCUAGUAGAUGGACCUGCGUUGUAUUAGCUAGUAGGUAGGGUAAUGGCCUACCUAGGCGACGAUACAUAGCCGACCUGAGAGGGUGAUCGGCCACACUGGGACUGAGACACGGCCCAGACUCCUACGGGAGGCAGCAGUAGGGAAUCUUCGGCAAUGGGGGGAACCCUGACCGAGCAACGCCGCGUGAGUGAAGAAGGUUUUCGGAUCGUAAAGCUCUGUUGUUAAGGAAGAACGAGCGUGAGAAUGGAAAGUUCAUACUGUGACGGUACUUAACCAGAAAGGGACGGCUAACUACGUG